UACGGAGGGUGCAAGCGUUAUCCGGAUUUACUGGGUUUAAAGGGUGUGUAGGCGGGCUUUUAAGUCAGUGGUGAAAUCUCCGGGCUCAACCCGGAAACUGCCAUUGAUACUAUUAGUCUUGAAUUUUGUUGAGGUAGGCGGAAUAAGUCAUGUAGCGGUGAAAUGCUUAGAUAUGACUUAGAACACCAAUUGCGAAGGCAGCUUGCUAAACAAACAUUGACGCUGAGGCACGAAAGCGUGGGGAGCAAACAGG
rnacentral:rRNA from 1 species